UUACCCCUGUGUUAUUGUCUCUAAUAUCCAGGGUCAGGGGAGGGGGGGGAGAGGAUAACAUUCCCUCAAAUUUAGCAGGUGCUUUGAGGCCCCUUGCUUGUGGUGUUGUUUUAAAUAUCCAGCGGGGAAGAUAAUAGUACUAUUUUUGAUAGUCUGAUUCAUCCGCUCCAACUUUCCGGAACUCUUAGGCCGGGAGGUGGCAUGCAGUUUCCGUGUGAUCCCCAAUACCUUUGCCGUCUUCUGUACCAAGGCAGCCAAAGACGCAGGCCCGUUAUCUGAGCCAAUCCAUAAGGCCAGUCAAAAUCUCGGAAUCAGAUCUCGAAGAAGCACAGGGGUUACUUCACGAGAUUUCUCAGUUCAUGUUGGAUAGGCCUCCACCCACCCAGAGUAGGUAUGUGCAAGAACUAGUAAAUACGUGUUAUCUCCACACUUUGUCAUCUCUGUGAAGUCUACCUGGAGAUUUUCAAAGGGGGCUGCUCCGUAAGCUUGUAUGCCGGGUGGAACGGCUGGACCUUGCCUCGCAUUAUGCUGUUGGCAGGUAACACACUGCUGCCUCACCGUUUUGGCGAGGGCUGACAAAUGCGAGAUGUACAAAUACCAGCCUAACAACUUUUCCAGUGACUCCUGACCUACAUGCGUGGUUUCAUGCACAGCCAGUAUAACUGCACCUCCUAGCAAGUGUGGCACGGCUACUCUCCCAUCUGGUAACCGAAUCCAUCCUUCCUGCAUCACUUGUCCUUCCCUCUACCUGGAGAAAGUCCUUUUCUUCUUUAGAAGAAGUAAGUCCAAGAUCAGGUGCUUGAGGGAGCACUGAUGCCUGGAAGGGGGCAGAUGCUGCUUUUCGAGCCUCUGAGUCAGUGCGGGAAUUCCCCAAACCCACCAAGGUAGAAGCUCGCUGGUGUCUUCUGCAAUGCACAACUGCCACCUUGUGGGGUUUCCAUACUGCUUCUAAUAAUUGCAAGAUUUCUUGUUGAUAUUUUCUGUCUUUUCCCCCAGAGUUCAAUAGGCCCUUUUCUUUCUAUCACGCUCCAUGCACUUGAAGGGUUAAAAAGACAUACCAAGAAUCAGUGUAAAUGUUGACAGUCCCACCCUCACUGAGUUCUAAGGCCCGAAUGAAAGCAAUGAGUUCAGCUUUCUGGGCUGAAGUGCCCUGGGGCAGCGAUCUGGCUUCAACAACAGUGUCCAGGGUUACCACGGCACACCCUGCACCUCUCUCUCCUUGGGGGUUGAAGAAGCUGCUCCCAUCCACGUAUAGUUCCAAGUCUACUGAUGCCCAAGGCUGGUCCUGGAAGUCAGGUCUGCUAGAGUCAACUGAGUCCAACAGUUCUACACAAUCAGGCUCGACAGGGCUCUCUGAUACCAGGAGCAAGGUGGCGGGGUGUAGGGUGUUACAAACUUCAAUGGUUAUACGGGGAUUUUCACAGAGCAAAAUUUGGUACUUGGUGAGUCUGGCAUUCGUUAGCCAACGAUGUCCUUUAGUAUUCAUUAAAGUCACCACAGCAUGGGAGGCCUUUAUGCUCAGGUUUUGCCCAAGAGUCAGCUUAUUUGCUUCUUGUCCUAGCAGGGCAGUUGCUGCCAAGGCCCUCAAACAGGGGGGCCAUCCUUUAGAAACCCCGUCUAGUUGUUUAGAGAAGUAGGCCACUGGCCUCAGCCAGGGCCCCACAGUUUGGGUUCAAAGUCCAGCUGCCAUCUCUUCUCUCUCUGAUGCAUACAAUGGAAAAGGCUUUGUCAGGUCAGGUAGCCCCAGGGCUGGAGCUGCCAGAAGUUUUUCCUUUAAC
ensembl:lncRNA novel transcript, antisense to DAPL1